UGGGGAAUUUUGGACAAUGGGCGCAAGCCUGAUCCAGCCAUGCCGCGUGCGGGAAGAAGGCCUUCGGGUUGUAAACCGCUUUUGUCAGGGAAGAAAUCUUCUGAGUUAAUACCUCGGGAGGAUGACGGUACCUGAAGAAUAAGCACCGGCUAACUACGUGCCGGCAGCCGCGGUAAUACGUAGGGUGCAAGCGUUAAUCGGAAUUACUGGGCGUAAAGCGUGCGCAGGCGGUUUUGUAAGACAGAGGUGAAAUCCCCGGGCUCAACCUGGGAACUGCCUUUGUGACUGCAAGGCUUGAGUGCGGCAGAGGGGGGAUGGAAUUCCGCGUGUAGCAGUGAAAUGCGUAGAUAUGCGGAGGAACACCGAUGGCGAAGGCAAUCCCCUGGGCCUGCACUGACGCUCAUGCACGAAAGCGUGGGGAGCAAACAGGAUUAGAUACCCUGGUAGUCCACGCCCUAAAACGAUGUCAACUGGUUGUUGGGAAGGUUCCUUCUCAGUAACGUAGCUAACGCGUGAAGUUGACCGCCUGGGGAGUACGGCCGC
rnacentral:rRNA from 1 species